rnacentral:rRNA from 1 species
GGCGGGACACGUGGUAUCCUGUCUGAAUAUGGGGGGACCAUCCUCCAAGGCUAAAUACUCCUGACUGACCGAUAGUGAACCAGUACCGUGAGGGAAAGGCGAAAAGAACCCCGGCGAGGGGAGUGAAAAAGAACCUGAAACCGUGUACGUACAAGCAGUGGGAGCCUCUUAAUGGGGUGACUGCGUACCUUUUGUAUAAUGGGUCAGCGACUUAUAUUCUGUAGCAAGGUUAACCGAAUAGGGGAGCCGAAGGGAAACCGAGUCUUAACUGGGCGUUAAGUUGCAGGGUAUAGACCCGAAACCCGGUGAUCUAGCCAUGGGCAGGUUGAAGGUUGGGUAACACUAACUGGAGGACCGAACCGACUAAUGUUGAAAAAUUAGCGGAUGACUUGUGGCUGGGGGUGAAAGGCCAAUCAAACCGGGAGAUAGCUGGUUCUCCCCGAAAGCUAUUUAGGUAGCGCCUCGUGAAUUCAUCUCCGGGGGUAGAGCACUGUUUCGGCAAGGGGGUCAUCCCGACUUACCAACCCGAUGCAAACUGCGAAUACCGGAGAAUGUUAUCACGGGAGACACACGGCGGGUGCUAACGUCCGUCGUGAAGAGGGAAACAACCCAGACCGCCAGCUAAGGUCCCAAAGUCAUGGUUAAGUGGGAAACGAUGUGGGAAGGCCCAGACAGCCAGGAUGUUGGCUUAGAAGCAGCCAUCAUUUAAAGAAAGCGUAAUAGCUCACUGGUCGAGUCGGCCUGCGCGGAAGAUGUAACGGGGCUAAACCAUGCACCGAAGCUGCGGCAGCGACACUAUGUGUUGUUGGGUAGGGGAGCG